GAUGAACGCUGGCGGCGUGCCUAACACAUGCAAGUCGAACGGAGUCGUUUUGGAAAUCUCUUCGGAGAUGGAAUUCUCGACUUAGUGGCGGACGGGUGAGUAACGCGUGAGCAAUCUGCCUUUAAGAGGGGGAUAACAGUCGGAAACGGCUGCUAAUACCGCAUAAAGCAUUAAAUUCGCAUGUUUUUGAUGCCAAAGGAGCAAUCCGCUUUUAGAUGAGCUCGCGUCUGAUUAGCUAGUUGGCGGGGUAACGGCCCACCAAGGCGACGAUCAGUAGCCGGACUGAGAGGUUGAACGGCCACAUUGGGACUGAGACACGGCCCAGACUCCUACGGGAGGCAGCAGUGGGGAAUAUUGCGCAAUGGGGGAAACCCUGACGCAGCAACGCCGCGUGAUUGAAGAAGGCCUUCGGGUUGUAAAGAUCUUUAAUCAGGGACGAAACAAAUGACGGUACCUGAAGAAUAAGCUCCGGCCAACUACGUG
rnacentral:rRNA from 1 species